rnacentral:lncRNA from 1 species
CCUGGGAAGCCCGCAAGAGGCCUCAGCGGUGGCCGUCCGAGAGCCGAGAGGUGAGGGUGCCCCCGCCUCACCUGCAGAGGGGCCGUUCCGGGCUCGAACCCGGCACCUUCCGGAAAAUGGCGGCUGCCAGGCCCAGCCUGGGCCGAGUCCUCCCAGGAUCCUCUGUCCUGUUCCUGUGUGACAUGCAGGAGAAGUUCCGCCACAACAUCGCCUACUUCCCACAGAUCGUCUCAGUGGCUGCCCGCAUGCUCAAGGUAUGACCUCAGCCCCCCACCCUCAGACCCAGGAUCCAGGCUCAGCCCUCCACCCUCAGACCCAGGAUCCAGGCUCAGCCCUCCACCCUCAGACCCAGGAUCCAGGCUCAGCCCUCCACCCUCAGACCCAGGAUCCAGGCUCAGCCCUCCACCCUCAGAUCCAGGAUCCAGGCUCAGCCCUCCACCCUCAGACCCAGGAUCCAGGCUCAGCCCUCCACCCUCAGACCCAGGCGUCCAGGCCCAACUCCUCUUCCUUCAGACCCAGGGAUCCAGGCCCACUUCCUCUUCCCUCAGACGCAGGAGUCCAGGCCCAGCUCCUCCUCCCUCAGACUCAGGAGUCCAGGCAUAGCCCCUCCUCCCUCACACCCAGGAGUCCAGACCCCCAGCCCCUCCUCCCUCAGACCCAGGAGUCCAGGCCCAGCCCCUCCUCCCUCAGACCCAGGAGUCCAGGC